rnacentral:rRNA from 1 species
GACGAACGCUGGCGGCGUGCUUAACACAUGCAAGUCGAACGGAAAGGCCCUGCUUUUGUGGGGUGCUCGAGUGGCGAACGGGUGAGUAACACGUGAGUAACCUGCCCUUGACUUUGGGAUAACUUCAGGAAACUGGGGCUAAUACCGGAUAGGAGCUCCUGCUGCAUGGUGGGGGUUGGAAAGUUUCGGCGGUUGGGGAUGGACUCGCGGCUUAUCAGCUUGUUGGUGGGGGAGUGGCUUACCAAGGCUUUGACGGGUAGCCGGCCUGAGAGGGUGACCGGCCACAUGGGGACUGAGAUACGGCCCAGACUCCUACGGGAGGCAGCAGUGGGGAAUAUUGCACAAUGGGCGGAAGCCUGAUGCAGCAACGCCGCGUGCGGGAUGACGGCCUGCGGGUUGUAAAACGCUUUCGCCUGUGACGAAGCGUGAGUGACGGUAAUGGGUAAAGAAGCACCGGCUAACUACGUG